CCAUGAUACCCCCUGGCCCCACCCAAAAGCAAUGGAUAUGGAGAUUGAACGAGGCUCUCCUUGAAAACCCAACAAUUAACGCAGACAUCCUCACGAAUCUGGAAUAAUUCUUCUUAACAAAUGCUACUCCAGAAGCCAACCCAUCUAUGGGAAUCUCACAAAUGUGCGAUCAGGGGUCUCUUGAUCAAGCACGGAUCGCACCAAAAGAAGCUCCGCACUCAAGAGAUCUCAG